CACAAACAAGUUACCGAAAUGAUGUCCAAAUGGCUGAUAGAAAAGCAUACAAACGCUAUGUGUUCAGAGAAUACACCGCAAUCAGCGAUACACUGAAGAUGUCUCUUUGCGUGGCGAUGAAAAGCUUGCAGGCACAAGGCAUAAACUCGAUUUUCACAGCACCUGCAUGUACGGGAGGUGGGUUGGUGAGUUGCUGGAACUCCGUUUCCCCUAGACAUAUACCAGCCUUUUGGCUCAGUAAUGGACGUAAAUCUUGGGGGAUGCGGCAUCCACAAUCCUCCACAUAAUCGCUGAAGGC